AUUGAACGCUGUAGGCUGGCUUAACACAAGCAAGUCGAGCGGAGCGGCGGACGGGUGAGUAAUGACUAGGAAUCUGCCUGGUAGUGGGGGAUAACGUCCGGAAACGGGCGCAAAUACCGCAUAAUAUCAGAUGAGCCUAUGUCGGAUUGGCUAGUUGGUGGGGUAAAGGUCUACCAUGGCAACGAUCCGUAACUGGUCUGAGAGGAUGAUCAGUCACACGGGAAAUGAGACACGGUCCAGACUCCUACGGGAGGCAGCAGUUGGGAAUAUUGGAAAAUGGGCGAAAGCCGGAUCCAGCCAUGCCGCGUGUGUGAAGAAGGUUUUCGGAUUGUAAAGCACUUUAAGUUGGGAGGCGUUACCAACAGAAUAAGCACCGGCUAACUUCGUGCCAGCAGCCGCGGUAAUUC
rnacentral:rRNA from 1 species